rnacentral:rRNA from 1 species
CUAAGCACACUGUUGGUUAUGUGUGCCCAAGCAUUGAGGCAGUCAAAGUAGGCAAAUCCGCUUUGAUAAUGCUGGGAUGUGAUGGGGAGCGAAAUUUAGUAGCGAAGUAGCUGAUUUCACACUGUCAAGAAAAGUCUCUAUCGAGGUUAAAGGUACCCGUACCGCAAACCGACACAGGUGGGUGAGGAGAGUAUCCUAAGGCCAGCGAGAGAACUGUUGUUAAGGAACUCGGCAAAAUGACCCCGUAACUUAGGGAUAAGGGGUGCCACCAUCAGGUGGCCGCAGAGAAUAGGCCCAAGCGACUGUUUACCAAAAACAUAGGUUUCUGCUAAGUCGCAAGACGAUGUAUAGGAGCUGACGCCUGCCCGGUGCUGGAAGGUUAAGGGGAUCUGUUAGAGCAAUCGAAGCAGUGAACUUAAGCCCCAGUAAACGGCGGCCGUAACUAUAACGGUCCUAAGGUAGCGAAAUUCCUUGUCGGGUAAGUUCCGACCCGCACGAAAGGCGUAACGAUUUGGGCACUGUCUCAACAACAGACUCGGUGAAAUUGUAAUUCCGGUGAAGAUGCCGGAUACCUGCGACAGGACGGAAAGACCCCAUGGAGCUUUACUGUAGCUUGACAUUGGGUCUUGGUACUACAUGUACAGGAUAGGUGGGAGGCUUUGAAACCAGGACGCCAGUUUUGGCGGAGCCAUCCUUGGGAUACCACCCUUGUA